UAUGACCAUAUCACGUUUGAACACCGGUUCUCAUAGGAUCACCGAAGUUAAGCAAUGUCGAGUUUGGUCAGUACCUAAAUGGGUGACAGCUUGGUAAUUCCAUGUGCUGUAA